UGAGACAGGUGCUGCAUGGCUGUCGUCAGCUCGUGUUGUGAAAUGUUGGGUUAAGUCCCGCAACGAGCGCAACCCUUAUCCUUUGUUGCCAGCGGUUAGGCCGGGAACUCAAAGGAGACUGCCAGUGAUAAACUGGAGGAAGGUGGGGAUGACGUCAAGUCAUCAUGGCCCUUACGACCAGGGCUACACACGUGCUACAAUGGCGCAUACAAAGAGAAGCGACCUCGCGAGAGCAAGCGGACCUCAUAAAGUGCGUCGUAGUCCGGAUUGGAGUCUGCAACUCGACUCCAUGAAGUCGGAAUCGCUAGUAAUCGUGGAUCAGAAUGCCACGGUGAAUACGUUCCCGGGCCUUGUACACACCGCCCGUCACACCAUGGGAGUGGGUUGCAAAAGAAGUAGGUAGCUUAACCUUCGGGAGGGCGCUUACCACUUUGUGAUUCAUGACUGGGGUGAAGUCGUAACAAGGUAACCGUAGGGGAACCUGCGGUUGGA
rnacentral:rRNA from 1 species